GCACUAGUAGCUCAGCCUUCAGAGCGCCGGUCUUGUAAACCGGACGCCGGGGGUUAAAAUCCCCCCUACUGCU
rnacentral:tRNA from 1 species